rnacentral:rRNA from 1 species
CCCGCUGAACUUAAGCAUAUCAGUAAGCGGAGGAAAAGAAACUAACAAGGAUUCCCCCAGUAACGGCGAGUGAAGCGGGAACAGCUCAAAUUUGGAAUCUGGCGCGCGCACGCGCGCCCGAGUUGUAGUCUAGAGAUGCGGGUGCCGCAGGGCCGGGGAGGGUCCCAAGUCCGCUGGAACGCGGCGCCAGGGAGGGUGAGAGCCCCGUGGGGACUCGGCACGCGCCCGUCACGGCCCCGCAUCGACGAGUCGAGUUGUUUGGGAAUGCAGCUCAAAGCGGGUGGUAAACCCCAUCCAAGGCUAAAUACAGGCAGGAGACCGAUAGCAAACAAGUACCGUGAGGGAAAGAUGAAAAGCACCUUGGAAAGGGAGUGAAAAGCACGUGAAAUUGUUAAAAGGGAAACGAUUGGCGUCAGUCUUGCAUGAAUGAUUGAUUGCGAGUCACGGCGCGUUGUGGGCGCGGGACGGGCGGCGCGGGAGGGUGCCAUGCACUCCCGGGUGGGUGGUCUAUAGCCCGCGCCGAGGACCGGGGCUGCGACGCGGGGCCAUGCAGCGAGCAUGGCGUGUGACGAAAUGGCGCCAAACGACCCGUCUUGAAACACGG